GUGAUUGCCCCGCGGAGGAAGCGGCCGCUGCCGCUUCCGCUGCCGCGCCUGUUCCACGAGCGCCCGGUCGCGCCCUUCUUCGGCUUCGGGCUGCCCUGACUGUCCCUCGAGUCGCCAGGGUGUCGAGGACCGCCCACGUGGUGAAGCGUCUUCGAGAGGGGGAGCGCCACAGCAGGCUUGUACAGGCGGCGAAAUGCUUCGCGCGCGAUCGUCCUGGGAUUAAUGCGACGACCUGGACAUUUGUAGAUGUCUGCAAUCUGCGAAUAGUGUCGAGUAUUCCAGAGAGUCAGAGACUACGAAAAAGUAAUUCCGAGAUUCGACAGGCUCGAAAUUAUCGUCCGAUUGACGGAUUCUAGAGUCUAAGGGUUUAGAACUUUCCAAGAUCCUAGGAUAAUGCAUCGUUUUUCCGGGGGGGAGCGGAAGAGUGUCGGGAAAAAGAAGAACUUCCCUCCCCCCCUCCACCGGCGAGUACCGGCGAAAACCGGACCAGCGAUCGGCGCGCGAUGGUAUCGAUUCGCGGGGCGAAUCCGUUCGACCAAUGGCCUCAUUAGCGAUAAUUAUCCGUCAGUUAAUCCGUUUGUCGCGUCUACGGACGAGCUGUCGUAACGCUAAAAGCGGGGGCGAGGAGAGACGAGGAAGAAGGACGGUUAUCGAUCACCGCGCCCUCGAAACUUCCGUUACAUCUCGCGUAGCGGCGGAAGGGCGACGCGGCGGGCGGGCAAAUAAAUAGGGCAAUGGGAUCUAUCGACGACGUGCUCACGCGCUGACGGUCGAGCGGCGUAUAGCUGGCGUGAAGUCAGAAUUUUGCGAGGACAAUCGAUCGAUAGUAAUGCUUCGAAUAGUUUUCGCGAAGACGAUGAGCAAAAGAGCGUCUUGUUUGGUUCCCUCUCGUCUGGGCGGACCGCGAGAAACCAGAUCUUUCAAUAUUGUGUCUGAGAAUAUUGCGUAUCGAACUGUAUUUGCGACGUAUUUUUCUAAAUUUUACACGAAAACUUGUUACUUUUUAAUAUCCAUAUUUAUUUACUCCCGUAAGAAGGCUUUUCCGCGCAGUAUUUAUUUGAUCUCCUAUUUUGUAAGUUAUUAUUUAAGCCGUUAUUUCAUAUGUUACUUCGCAACAUAGCGUUGAGCGCCGGUACAUUUCUUUUCUUUUCUUUUUACGUCCGCGCGUUCGUCACAUAGUUGCCGUUGCGAAGCAAUUCUGCGGAGCAAAGCAAUGUUUUCGCGUUUCAGAACUGCUUCGCAACAACACCGCAAUCAGCACAAAUAACGAUUACGACAGGAAGAUAGAUGCCUUUCGAUGAAUUGCGGUAGAUUUGAAAAAUUGAAAAUGAUUCGUAGUGUCAUCGUGACGAAUUGACGGAAACACGCGCUUGAUAACGAUCAACACACACAAACGAAUGCAUUCUACAUUUAUCAAAAUCGCAUAUAGAAUGCAUUUCUGGCGGUCCGCUCCCGAAGACGUUGCGCAACAUAUUGCGCGCGCACGUCACAUCGUCAUUGAAUUCGUUCUGAUUUCGUUAACUGAUUUCGAUCGAGCCGUCUCUCUACGUUUGUCGAUGAUUCGAUGAGGAUGAGAAGGAGCUGAGAAGCGGAAACGAAGAUGCACGACAGAACGCGAGGUGGCACGCGAAAGCCCGCGCUUCUAAAUGAACGGUCUAAUUAAUUAUGCAAUGGAAGGCUGAAACGCGCGCUGUGAUUUUCGAACACCGAAAAAAAAAAAAAAUUUUUACUCAAAGGUUACUAUGAAUUAUCGUGAUAGCGACCAUUGUUAUCAUUGUUAACAAAGAGAAUAUCCUAUUAAUCUUAAUAUUAUUUCGCCACGCGCGACUAUCAACCAUCAUUUCUCUCAGUUAAUUCGCGUUACAGACGCAAACGGUCUAUGUGUGAGAGUGAACGAGAAUGAGAGGAAGAAAGAGAGAGAAAGAUGUGAGUAAAUUACACCGCCAGUCCUCGGUGUACGAAGCUGAAUAUUGCCAAAUUUCACUUUAUUCUUCAUUAUUUCAUUACAUCUACAUAAUCCAAAAUUAUUCAUGAUUUUAGUAUUUUAAUUCGACGGAAGUUUUCGAGAUACGCGCAUUUCUAAUUUUCUUUGCCUUUCUCUUAAAUCUAAUGAGUUUUAGUGUCAAAUAUAAUAUACUAGUAUCUAAAUAUUCAGCAAAUAAAGAUCCAAUUAAUUAUUUUAUUAAUACGUUUUAAGUUGCGAGCCUGCGCGUUUUCGUAGAUCGAGGACGGCAACGGAUGGAAAUGCGCGACAGACGUUUCGUACGUCCGUAGCAGUAUUACGCACGUAUUCAACGAUUUCGUAUAUAUAUAUACUUGGGCGGUGUGGUCAACCGCCAUGUAGGACACGAGUGUCCUGCGGAAAGUUCGCGCGUCUCGCGACGGAGGAUGUUGGAGGACUGACGGCGGCCGCCGGUUAUCGACCCAUUCAGUUUCCGGCGAAGUGAGGACGGACUGGCCCGAUAUCUCUCGGUAAAUGAAAACAGUAUUCAUUCGAAUUGAUGGUCGAUUGAGAGGAUCGUUAAGUGCGAGAUUCGAACAUUUUGCGGAGAGAGUCACGCCAUCAGCCUCGUGAAAUAGCGAUCGUUGGCGUGAAUGUUGAAGAUUACAUGACAAGGGUCAAAUUUGAGUAUCUCUCACACACACACACACACACACAUACGCGCGCACACACACAAAUACAGCAGAUAUUUUAUGUUAUCUUGUCGAAACUUUGUUCGAUACUUUAAUGACUAAGUUUUUCAUCAGUUUAUUGUACAUUAGACCUAGCCCUGUCAGCCAGUCCGUCCAUGUCAAUUUACGUGUUGCGUGUAAAAACUAAUAUUUGCGAAUGCGAGUCCGGAUGGAUCGCGCAGGCAGCGUCGGCGAUCCUUUUUAACUUUAUCGUCGUAAUUCUGAUCGUGAACAAUGUACAUCGCCGCGACAAAUCACUCCAGUCUCCGAUCUUUGUUGUAAAAUUAAGUGUAAAUAUCGGAAAAAUGGCCGGGAAUCGAUUCUAUUUGCCAAUUUUUUUUUUAUAUAAUAACGUGAUUGCGCGCGUAACGAAAUGUUUGCUUCGGGAUUUUUUGGCGAAUACGUAAGCGCGCGUAGGGGUGAAUCGAGCCGUCUGAUUAAACUUCAGCAGUCGCGUGGGGAUUCGUGUGUCUCCUUGUCGGACACAUGUUUAGUAAUCAUAGUGGUUUAGCGAUAAGACUUGGAAUGUUUUUAUCGCUCUUCUUUUUAUCUUCGUUUUAUCUUUAUCUUUCGAGAAAAUAAUAUUUCCGAGUUUCAAAGGACGAUCAUCCAGAGCGAUAAAAACGGACACGUUGAAACGUGUUUUUAGAGAACCGAUUAGGCUCUGAAACUGACUCAUCGUUGCCGUCAUUGUCAUCGACCCCACGCGGCUGUUUGAAGGUUGAAUCAAGUUUCGCGUGAUUUGAAACGCGCUUUCCUCGCCGGACGCAGCAGCGAACGGUUCCGCACGAUAACGAAAUCCGCGGAUAUCCGCGGUCACGGUCGCAUUUGCCGUAAGGCGCAUUAGGCGCCGGCUGGGGCCUCAUUUUCAAACCUUACUCCUCACAAAUAACAAUAUAAAAAGCAAUCUAGUUAUAAUCGCAAGAUAAAAUACUCAAUUUUAAAUAUUAAAUUUAUAAUAUAAAAACUAGAGGCCGCUGAAAAAUUUGUAAGCGGCAAUUGUUCAUUAAAUUUCGCCCUUUUGCGUUAUGCAUAUCGAAUUUUAUUUUCAAUGAACUUGAAAAAAAAAUGCGCACGAACUUGAUUAACUUAACUGAAACUUGUUCUUUUGAGGUCUCAUAAUGAUGUCGCGCCUCCAAAAGUGUAAAUGCGACUUUGUCCGCGGAACGUACACUUUUUCAAUCGCGGCUUCGACGGUUCGCGCUCGAUUUAAAAAGUUCCGUGUCCGACGAAAUUAUCGGGUCUGAACUGUUCGAGACGGGAUCGCCCGCUUCGCUCGCCUCGUCGCGACGCGACGGGGCGCGGAUGAAAAGGGACACACGCCCCUCCCCACUCCUCCGUGCUAUUGUAAAUAGGGGAACCGCGGUCGCGAGACUGGAGUGGUGUCAUCUCGGUGAUACGUCCAAAUGGAAUUGUGACGUUUCCUCGAUCAGCGCAGAUACACCGUGUGUACGUCGAUCCCAUCGGAAUCCUCCACACAACCAAAAUGGAGCUAGAUAUAUACAUAUGCAUAAGCAUACAUACAUAAUUAUGCUACAUAAUACACGUAUACAUAGGUAGUUAUAUAUACAUAAACUACGUACGGGGCGCAUGUCUCAAAAAGUGUGUACCGAUGGGGAUUUUUUCUCCGCGAAACACCUCAGAUUCGUUGCGGAGAAAAUUUCUGUCUUUCGUCAUUUCUAUUUUAAAUAUACGUUUUAUACGAGUAUAAUCGGAUUUUAUUACUAAAUAAUCUCUCAAUUGGACUUCACGUGUUUACGGUUUUCCAAUUUUUAAAAUUAAAAAUUGUUGUUUUCUCGAAUUGUCGAAGUACUUCAGACAAUUUCCAAUUUUUAGCUGUCCUGAGGAGUCUCGCACGAGGAUAGCAAUCGAUACACACUCUUUGUGAAACAUUCUGUGCACGCAUCUUUGUGCUGGUGGUCCGGUGUCGCGGAAAUCGAGACUUCGAGCACGAGCCAUUUAAUUUGCUCAGGCUGCUACGACUUUUCGGUCGAUCAAUCCGCUGUGCGAGGUGUUGCGAGGCAAAUAUUGGCUUCAUCAAAUAUGCAGCGACAGUUGCAGCCGGAUGCGUCUCCGGCAUAGCUUCUCGCUUCCUUCCGAUGCAGCAGCAGCAGCGGCGGCAGCAGCAGCAACAGCAGCAGCAGCAGCAGCAGCAGUCGAUGUUGAACUGCGGCGAGUUGCUUUCUGUCUUCCGUGUUUACGCACCGAUUUCUUUUAGUUAGACAGAGAUUCGAGCGUCCAAAAGAGAAGAGAGAGAGAGAAAGAUCUUUGAUUUCUCGAUUCAGAAAUUUCGCAACUAUGGAAACUGCGGGUCGCCUCCUGCAACUUUGAACGGUGAAUUGCGGAAUCCUCCGGUCUGGAGACAAAGGUUUUCUCACCAGGACACUUGGAAGGCAUGCCUGGUUUUAAAUCUCUCUGGGGAGACGUGCGAGUCCUUGGCCCGGUUGCACCGACGUUAACUUUAUACUAGUGUUAACUUUUGAUUCCUUCAAUCGUCCCUCUCUUUCUAUAUCAUAGAUACAAUUAGAGAUCAGAGACAAUUGUUAAGCUAGGAUUAAUCGACGCACAUUGUCGGUGCAACCGACGGCUUUAGCACUUAUCGACAUUUCUAUCUCCGCGCGGACUCUCGAGUCGUCAGGGCUGGCAAAGUCUUUUGCGAGAUCACAAAUCGCCUUUACUUUUGCAUUGCACAAAGAGAUUCUACGAGUCCGAGUCUUACGCUCACGUCUGUAAUCGGCAACGGCCAUCGUUGCAAAGGCCCGUUUCCUCUCAACGACUACUUGCAAUAAACGCUACAGUUCCUAAACGCCGAAAGAACGAUUUCUCGCACCUGGCCACCGAUAUUCGACCGAAUUAUCGCCCACGAUACCAAAUGUUCCUUAAGUUGUUUUUUCUGCGAAAAUACUCUUGUAAAUAGUCAACUUCUACAUAACUGAAGUGAAUUGUAUGCGAGGAAGAUCGAAUUAAAAUGUGAUAAGAUGUUCGAAAUAAAGAAUGCGCGCAGCGAGUUCUAUCGAUCACCCGAGAUGAGAUUCCAAAGUAUACUAAGUUGAAUACACCAACGAUAAAGUGAUCAUUUUCGGAAGAUGCUUUAAACGUAGAUCUUAUUUAUCGACAAAUGUAUUCCAUGAGCUUAGCUUUCGUCAUUGAUUCGAGAGAAAAGAUUCAUGAAAAAAAUACUGUUUUACAAAUAAAUGUAAUAUCCUACUCUGUUGAGCCUUUUUAGUUCCUGUAAUCCUAAGAUGUUGAAGUCCUAUUUUUUUCAAGUUCAACUAUUAAAAGCUAUUAAAAGUAUUAUCUUACCCAUUGCGUGUGUAAAUUAAAUGAAAUGCGACUCGUGCGACUAGCUUGGUAAACUUUGGAACCCAUGUGGUCAACGCAUAUUCUCGUCACGACGAUUAGGAUCGAAUGCCAGUUAUUGCACACACUCGAUGUAACUAUAUAAAUAUCGAUAUCAAUCUAUCAGUCUCAUGUCUGUUUGAUGGUACUUAAACGAAACGGUCCUUCGGGCUGUUCCCUCUGCAUUCAGCGGCGCAGUGUCGAUAAUGUUCUUUAAGCGAAGUAUAUAAGUUACUAAACAAUAACAAUAAUAAUAAACAGAUAAAUAAAUAAUUCUCUUCUCGUAGCACCGUUCCUUUUUUUGGCCCGACGUGCGACCCGAGCACGAAUCUUUUGUAUAUAAAAGUACCGCGAAUCGCGCAGGUGCGAGACGCGAAAGGUAAUAAUUAAUUAAUUAAUUGACGCUCUAUCUGGUCGCAAGUUGCGUGAGCCAACCUUGCGUAUAAACUCAUUGCUCGUUAUAUGCGAUGUAUUUUUGUGAACAGUAUUGAAAGUGCUACCGUUGUACAGUUAUCAUAUGGUAAAUGUACUAUAUAUAAUGAUGUAUCUAUAUGUACAUAGAUAUAUUUAAUUAAAGUGAAUAUGAAUUUGUGUA